rnacentral:rRNA from 1 species
GUGGGGAAUAUUGCACAAUGGGCGAAAGCCUGAUGCAGCAACGCCGCGUGAGUGAUGAAGGCCUUCGGGUUGUAAAGCUCUGUCUUUGGGGACGAUAAUGACGGUACCCAAGGAGGAAGCCACGGCUAACUACGUGCCAGCAGCCGCGGUAAUACGUAGGUGGCAAGCGUUGUCCGGAUUUACUGGGCGUAAAGGAUGCGUAGGUGGAUAUUUAAGUGGGAUGUGAAAUACCCGAGCUCAACUUGGGUGCUGCAUUCCAAACUGGAUGUCUAGAGUGCAGGAGAGGUAAGUGGAAUUCCUAGUGUAGCGGUGAAAUGCGUAGAGAUUAGGAAGAACACCAGUGGCGAAGGCGACUUACUGGACUGUAACUGACACUGAGGCAUGAAAGCGUGGGGAGCAAACAGGAUUAGAUACCCUUGUAGUCC